GAUGAACGCUAGCGAUAGGCUUAACACAUGCAAGUCGAGGGGCAGCAUGGUCUUAGCUUGCUAAGGCUGAUGGCGACCGGCACACGGGUGCGUAACGCGUAUGCAACUUGCCUCACAGAGGGGGAUAACCCGUCGAAAGACGGACUAAUACCGCGUACACUCUAUGUUGGGCAUCCAAUGUAGAGGAAAUGAAAUUCGCUGUGAGAUAGGCAUGCGUCCCAUUAGCUAGUUGGUGAGGUAACGGCUCACCAAGGCGACGAUGGGUAGGGGAACUGAGAGGUUGAACCCCCACACUGGUACUGAGACACGGACCAGACUCCUACGGGAGGCAGCAGUGAGGAAUAUUGGUCAAUGGGCGAGAGCCUGAACCAGCCAAGUCGCGUGAAGGAUGACUGUCUUAUGGAUUGUAAACUUCUUUUAUACGGGAAUAACAAGAGUCACGUGUGGCUCCCUGCAUGUACCGUAUGAAUAAGCAUCGGCUAACUCCGUG
rnacentral:rRNA from 1 species